rnacentral:tRNA from 3 species
GCGAGAGUGGCGGAAUUGGUAGACGCACUGGACUUAGGAUCCAGCGCCUUUGUGCGUAGGAGUUCGAGUCUCCUCUCUCGCACCA